rnacentral:rRNA from 1 species
CAUCCCAGUUCGGAUUGCAGGCUGAAACCCGCCUGUAUGAAGUUGGAAUCGCUAGUAAUUGCGGAUCAGCAUGCCGCGGUGAAUACGUUCCCGGGCCUUGUACACACCGCCCGUCACACCAUGAGAGUCGGGAACACCCGAAGUCCGUAGCCUAACCGCAAGGGGGCGCGGCCGAAGGUGGGUUCGAUAAUUGGGGUGAAGUCGUAACAAGGUACC